rnacentral:rRNA from 1 species
AGAGUUUGAUCCUGGCUCAGGAUGAACGCUAGCGGCAGCCUAACACAUGCAAGUCGAGGGGCAGCGAGAGUUAGUUUACUAACUUGUCGGCGACCGGCGCACGGGUGCGUAACGCGUAUGCAACCUACCUUUUACUGGGGGAUAGCCCGGAGAAAUCCGGAUUAAUACCCCAUAGUAUCUAUUAAUGGCAUCAUUUGAUAGAUUAAAGUUUCGGCGGUAAAAGAUGGGCAUGCGUCCUAUUAGCUAGAUGGUAAGGUAACGGCUUACCAUGGCUACGAUAGGUAGGGGGCCUGAGAGGGUAGUCCCCCACACUGGUACUGAGACACGGACCAGACUCCUACGGGAGGCAGCAGUGAGGAAUAUUGGUCAAUGGACGCAAGUCUGAACCAGCCAUGCCGCGUGCAGGAAGAAUGCCCUAUGGGUUGUAAACUGCUUUUAUUUAGGAAGAAACCCCCGAACGUGUUCGGGGCUGACGGUACUAAACGAAUAAGGACCGGCUAACUCCGUGCCAGCAGCCGCGGUAAUACGGAGGGUCCAAGCGUUAUCCGGAAUCAUUGGGUUUAAAGGGUCCGCAGGCGGGUUAAUAAGUCAGUGGUGAAAUCUCUCAGCUUAACUGGGAAACUGCCAUUGAUACUGUUAGUCUUGAAUUCGGUCGAAGUAGGCGGAAUGUGUCAUGUAGCGGUGAAAUGCAUAGAUAUGACACAGAACACCGAUAGCGAAGGCAGCUUACUAGGCCUGAAUUGACGCUCAUGGACGAAAGCGUGGGGAGCAAACAGGAUUAGAUACCCUGGUAGUCCACGCCGUAAACGAUGAUUACUCGAUAUCAGCGAUAUACUGUUGGUGUCUAAGCGAAAGUGAUAAGUAAUCCACCUGGGGAGUACGAUCGCAAGGUGA